AUCAUUAACUGAAUCCAUAGGUUAAUGAGGCGAACCGGGGGAACUGAAACAUCUAAGUACCCCGAGGAAAAGAAAUCAACCGAGAUUCCCCCAGUAGCGGCGAGCGAACGGGGAGGAGCCCAGAGCCUGAAUCAGCAUGUGUGUUAGUGGAAGCGUCUGGAAAGGCGCGCGAUACAGGGUGACAGCCCCGUACACAAAAGCGCAUAUGCUGUGAGCUCGAUGAGUAGGGCGGGACACGUGGUAUCCUGUCUGAAUAUGGGGGGACCAUCCUCCAAGGCUAAAUACUCCUGACUGACCGAUAGUGAACCAGUACCGUGAGGGAAAGGCGAAAAGAACCCCGGCGAGGGGAGUGAAAAAGAACCUGAAACCGUGUACGUACAAGCAGUGGGAGCCCCACCACCAAAGCAUUCUCUGGUGUUGAAGGCCCUGCAGAGCAGCAUCGCGGUGGCGGAGCGUCGUUUGCGACGCCCAACACAAAAAAACAAGCGGUGAGUGCUUUGGGGUGGGGUGACUGCGUACCUUUUGUAUAAUGGGUCAGCGACUUAUAUUCUGUAGCAAGGUUAACCGAAUAGGGGAGCCGGAGGGAAACCGAGUCUUAAUUGGGCGUUAAGUUGCAGGGUAUAGACCCGAAACCCGGUGAUCUAGCCAUGGGCAGGUUGAAGGUUGGGUAACACUAACUGGAGGACCGAACCGACUAAUGUUGAAAAAUUAGCGGAUGACCUGUGGCUGGGGGUGAAAGGCCAAUCAAACCGGGAGAUAGCUGGUUCUCCCCGAAAGCUAUUUAGGUAGCGCCUCGUGAAUUCAUCUCCGGGGGUAGAGCACUGUUUCGGCUAGGGGGCCAUCCCGGCUUACCAACCCGAUGCAAACUGCGAAUACCGGAGAAUGUUAUCACGGGAGACACACGGCGGGUGCUAACGUCCGUCGUGAAGAGGGAAACAACCCAGACCGCCAGCUAAGGUCCCAAAGUCAUGGUUAAGUGGGAAACGAUGUGGGAAGGCCCAGACAGCCAGGAUGUUGGCUUAGAAGCAGCCAUCAUUUAAAGAAAGCGUAAUAGCUCACUGGUCGAGUCGGCCUGCGCGGAAGAUGUAACGGGGCUAAACCAU
rnacentral:rRNA from 1 species